GCCACGUUUAGUGAAUUUCCUGCCUCCCAAGAAUUGUAGUCCACUAAAAGUCACUUUUUCACCAUUUAUUUAAAAAUAUUAAUUAUAAUCACAAAUCACAUUCUCAUCACUUGAGUCACUGUCUCACUCCCUGGUCUCUCACUGUCUCUAGUCUCUCGCACAUCUCUAGAUCUCUCCCGUCUCAUGCAUUAUAUAUAUUUUAGAUUAUCUCACGUUCAGUUCAUUCUCACCUAUGAUUGGUUCGUCUUAAUUGCAUUAUUUUUCUAAUUAUUUUG